rnacentral:rRNA from 1 species
GACGAAGGUGGCAAGCGUUAUUCGGAUUUACUGGGCAUAAAGCGCGCGUAGGCGGCUUGGCAAGUCGGGGGUGAAAGCCUGUGGCUCAACCACAGAAUUGCCUUCGAUACUGUUUGGCUUGAGACCGGAAGAGGUUAGUGGAACUGCGAGUGUAGAGGUGAAAUUCGUAGAUAUUCGCAAGAACACCAGUGGCGAAGGCGGCUGACUGGUCCGGUUCUGACGCUGAGGCGCGAAAGCGUGGGGAGCAAACAGG